CCUACGGGUGGCAGCAGUGAGGAAUAUUGGUCAAUGGACGAGAGUCUGAACCAGCCAAGUAGCGUGAAGGAUGACUGCCCUAUGGGUUGUAAACUUCUUUUAUAUGGGAAUAAAAUGUUCCACGUGUGGGAUUUUGUCUGUACCAUAUGAAUAAGGAUCGGCUAACUCCGUGCCAGCAGCCGCGGUAAUACGGAGGAUCCGAGCGUUAUCCGGAUUUAUUGGGUUUAAAGGGAGCGUAGGUGGAUUGUUAAGUCAGUUGUGAAAGUUUGCGGCUCAACCGUAAAAUUGCAGUUGAAACUGGCAGUCUUGAGUACAGUAGAGGUGGGCGGAAUUCGUGGUGUAGCGGUGAAAUGCUUAGAUAUCACGAAGAACUCCGAUUGCGAAGGCAGUUCACUGGACUGCAACUGACACUGAGGCUCGAAAGUGUGGGUAUCAAACAGGAUUAGAUACCCUUGUAGUC
rnacentral:rRNA from 1 species